GAAAUGAGGAAAACAGUUGCUGACUGACUGCCUGCAGGGUUGUGGCUGCAUAAUAUUUCAUUGAAUGUAUACACCAUAUUUAUCUAUUCAUCUGUGGAUUGACAUUUGAGAUGCUUCCACUGUUGAUCAUAGUGAAUAAUGCAGUGAACAUGGAUGUGCAACUAUCUCUUCAAGAUCCUGAUUUGAAUUCUUUUGGAUAUAUACCCAGAAGAGGGAUUGCUGUAUCAUAUGGUAAUUUUAUUUUUAAACUUUUGAGGGAAUCUAUAUUGUCUUCCAUAAUGGCUGCACCAUUUUACAUUGGGUUGCACCUACCAACAGUGCACCAGCACUCCAACUUCUCCCCAUCCUCGCCAACACUUGCUAUUUUCUGUUCUUUUGAUAGUGACCACCCUCCUGGGUGUGAGGUGAUAGCUCUUUGCGGUUUUGAUUUGAAUUGCUAUAAAGAUGUUGAACAUCUUUUCACAUGCUUACUGGCCAUUUGUAUAUCUUCUUUGGAGAAUUGUCUAUUUGUGUUCUUUG
rnacentral:lncRNA from 1 species